rnacentral:lncRNA from 12 species
UGAAAGUCAGGAAGGAGAAAGGAAGAAAACAGGUUCCUGCCAAGUCCAAUCCACAUAUUCAACAAAUCUUUGAAGACACAAUGGCAAAAUGGAAU